AGAGGCUGCUGGGAGCAAGACCUUUACCCUCUGACCCCCACCGUGACCCCCGUCGUUCCGGCUUCCCUCAAGGCGGCGGCGGAAGCCCCCGCAACCUCCGGUGCUCGUGCGCGCGUUUCCAGAGACCGGCAGCACGUCACCAUCACCUCCUGAGAACCUUUUCCACUAAGAAUAUAUAAAGAAGAAACUGUCAAAGAAAAGAGGAGAAGGAGCUGUCACAGAUUACAAGAAUUUCAAGAAGGUCAAAUUCUUUCUCCAGACACUUGAAUCUGAGCUGGCCUUGUGACUUGCUUUACCAAUAGAAUGCAGCAGAAGUAACCUUGUGGGACUUGCAAGUGCAGCCUCCAAGAGACGUUUGAAGCUUCUGCUCUUGUCCCCUUGGAACACUGCCAUCACCAUGUGAAAAAGUCCCAGCCAGUAUCCUUGAAGUUGAGAGACCAUGUGGAGAUAGAGGCUCAACCGAAGCCAUCACUAACUGCCAGACUUUCGAGUAAGGCCAUCUUGGACCAUGCAUCUCAUAAUGGUCUCCAGUUGAUAACAUCUGCAAUGAGUGACCAUCAGCAAAAUGAACGAGAUCAGCAGAAGAAUCACCCAACUGAACCCAGCUCAAAUUUCUUACUCACAGAAUUAUCAGCAAAUAAAAUGGUAGCCAUUUUAAGCCACUAAGUUUGUUAUGCAGCAAUAGAUCAUUCAGACACUAGCUAGACUCCAAAGAUCUUUCUUUUAGGCUUUGUCAUCUUGCAUUGACCUUGAAGGUGCUUCUUUAAGAGGUCUCUUGAAAGGUGCCAGAAGGCAUUAUGCUAUGCUUUCACCCAUUUUUCAAAUUACUUCAUUUUAAGAAUAUAUAUAUAU